GACGAACGCUGGCGGCGUGCCUAAUACAUGCAAGUUGAGCGCUGGAACGUGAUACUUGUACCACCGAGAUUAGCAGCGAACGGGUGAGUAACGCGUGGAGAAUCUACCUUUAAGCGGGGGACAACAUUUGGAAACGGAUGCUAAUACCGCAUAAAAACUUUAAACACAAGGUUUAAGUUUGAAAGAUGCAAUUGCAUCACUCAAAAGUUGUCCCGCCUUGUAUUAGCUUGUUGGUGAGGGAAAGGCUCACCAAGGCGAUGAUACAUAGCCGACCUGAGAGGGUGAUCGGGCAAAAUGGGAACGGGAAACGGCCCAAACCCCUACGGGAGGCAGCAGUAGGGGAAUUUCGGCCAUGGACGAAAGUCCGAACGAGGAACGCCGGGGGGGGGAAGAAGGUUUUUGGAUUGUAAAAACCUGUUUGUAGAGAAGAAAGUUGUUUAGAGUGGAAAGCUCACAAAGUGACGGUAACUAAUCAGAAAGGGACGGCUAACUACGUG
rnacentral:rRNA from 1 species